rnacentral:rRNA from 1 species
GACGAACGCUGACGGUGUGCUUUAGACAUGCAAGUCGAACGAGAAAGCCCUUCGGGUUAGUAAAGUAGGCGAACGGUGAGUAACACGUGGGUGACCUGCCCUCAGCUCUGGGAUAAGCCUGGGAAACCGGGUCUAAUACUGGAUAUGACUCCAUGACGCAUGUUGUGGGGUGGAAAGCCUUGUGCGGCUGAGGAUGGGCCCGCGGCCUAUCAGCUUGUUGGUGGGGUGANGGCCUACCAAGGCGACGACGGGUAGCCGGCCUGAGAGGGCGACCGGCCACACUGGGACUGAGACACGGGCCCAGACUCCUACGGGAGGCAGCAGUGGGGAAUCUUGCGCAAUGGGCGAAAGCCUGACGCAGCGACGCCGCG